GCAGAGGUGUUGGUGCGGUGCUUUCCUACGGGGAUGCUGGUCUGAAGUGUGGGGUUUAAGGUCUCCGCCCGCUGCCCCCUGUGAGCCAGUGACAGCAGACUAAGCGCAAGGGAAAAAAAAGUGAAUGAAAAUAUGAAGUAACAUCAGAUAGAGCUAUUUUACAAGAAUUCAGUUUCUUCAUUGUGGCGACAUGAAGCAAGUUUGCCUACAAGCCCAUCCAUAAGUAAAAAUUCAGAACGAAGGAAGGUAUUAUGAUCAGAGGCUGUAUGCAGUAAUUGAAGACACUCCUGAUGAUCCCACACAAUCAGAGUGACACGUUACUUAGGAUGAAAAUUAAGAAGAAAAGCCGAUUUAUAGGUUGUUUUACUAUGGCCAAUGCUUCUGCAAAGAUGAACAAAUCUACCUCAAAAGAUUAAAAAAAAAAAAAAAAAGAACAAAACAAAACAAAAAACAACCAUUUCUAUGCUUUUCCAUGUAAGAGACUCACUAAAAUUUUGUAUAACCUUUGCUAUAACUUGCAGCACUUUGGGAUUUUAAGUUUUAAUGAAACUAUAGAAAAUAUCUUAAACUGAAUGAUUUCUAUUCAGAGCACUUGGAGUGCUGAUACCAUGAACAGUAUAGAUGGCUCCAGCCAUAACUGUCACACAGAUAAUAUUCUUUUAUGCCUCAAGACACUGAGAUGGUGCUGUAGAUAACCAAAAGAAAUAAGCUGCCACCAUCACUAAUCUGCAGUUUUGAAACAGUAUAGCUUUUGCAUGGUUAAGAGAAGGUAAAAUCACCUACCAGUGUAAUAGAGAAGACAUUUAAAAAGUGAACGGGACCUGGAUGAAUUAAAGCUUUCAUAUUUAUUUGUUAUCCAUAUGCACCGUGGAUCAAAUCGUCCAUAUUCAAUUUUAUGUGUUUAUGUAUGACAAUUGAAAAUACAAAAUGAGCUAGGGCCUUUCCAUUCCCCUAGGACAUUUUUGCUAAUGUAGUGAAAUGAAAAUCUAAGGAGUAUUUGGCCUCAAUGUUCCCUUCAGAGGUUAACUUUGGAGAAUCUUAAGUGUGUGUUCUUAUGGCUGGAUUUGUAAUGUGUGUAGCAGAUUAGAAUGUAAUAUGAUAUUCAGUUGCACCACCCAAACAGAAAUUGCUGUCUGUAUUUUUCUCACCCAGCAAAUAUUGCUUGAGGGCUUUUUACAUGGAUAAAAUUGAAUUUUACAUUCCUAUUGCAUAAUGUGACUUAUCAACUACUUUCUGUAUGUGUGAGUCUGGGGUUUGGUGAACACAAAUCAUAACCAAAGUUUGAUGAACAUCUUCUAUAAAGCUAGGAUACUAGAUCCAUAAAAAAAGAGAAGAUAAUUAGUUUUAUGUCUGGAGCUACCUUUUGGAGUGAAAUACAUCAUUUCAUAUCACAAUGGAAUGCAUCCUUACUGGCAAGAAAAAAAAAUACUAUUCCUUGCUACUUACUCUUCAUAAGAAAAAUAAAUAAA